rnacentral:rRNA from 1 species
CGAGUGGCGGACGGGUGAGUAAUGUCUGGGAAACUGCCUGGUGGAGGGGGAUAACUACUGGAAACGGUAGCUAAUACCGCAUAACGUCGCAAAGACCGAAAGAGGGGGGACCCUUUCGGGCCUCUUGCCAUCGGAUGUGCCCAGAUGGGAUUAGCUAGUAGGUGGGGUAACGGCUCACCUAGGCGACGAUCCCUAGCUGGUCUGAGAGGAUGACCAGCCACACUGGAACUGAGACACGGUCCAG